AAAGUCGUAACAAGGUUUCCGUAGGUGAACCUGCGGAAGGAUCAUUACAAAUCCAUCACGUCUCACUCGAGACCACGUUGAAAUGUUCCCCAAGCCGAGCCUCAGAUCUACACCAAACUGGCCGCCCACGUUCGUAAGAACGCGCGCAGCGCCGGGGAUCUGCAGGAUCGAUUGGGCUUAUUAAACUAGUCUUCCUGUUGCACAAUUGUAUCUGGAUUCAUCCAUCAAAUGAAAACUUGUACAACUUAUAACAAUGGAUCUCUAGGCUCUU
rnacentral:misc_RNA from 1 species